GAUGAACGCUGGCGGCGUGCCUAAUACAUGCAAGUCGAGCGAACGGACGAGAAGCUUGCUUCUCUGAUGUUAGCGGCGGACGGGUGAGUAACACGUGGAUAACCUACCUAUAAGACUGGGAUAACUUCGGGAAACCGUAGCUAAUACCGGAUAAUAUUUUGAACCGCAUGGUUCAAAAGUGAAAGACGGGCUUGCUGUCACUUAUAGAUGGAUCCGCGCUGCAUUAGCUAGUUGGUAAGGUAACGGCUUACCAAGGCAACGAUGCAUAGCCGACCUGAGAGGGUGAUCGGCCACACUGGAACUGAGACACGGUCCAGACUCCUACGGGAGGCAGCAGUAGGGAAUCUUCCGCAAUGGGCGAAAGCCUGACGGAGCAACGCCGCGUGAGUGAUGAAGGUCUUCGGAUCGUAAAACUCUGUUAUUAGGGAAGAACAUAUGUGUAAGUAACUGUGCACAUCUUGACGGUACCUAAUCAGAAAGCCACGGCUAACUACGUG
rnacentral:rRNA from 1 species